rnacentral:rRNA from 1 species
AGGACGAACGCUGGCGGCGUGCUUAACACAUGCAAGUCGAGCGGAAAGGCCCUUCGGGGUACUCGAGCGGCGAACGGGUGAGUAACACGUGAGCAACCUGCCCUUAGCUUCGGGAUAGCUCCGGGAAACCGGAAUUAAUACCGAAUAUGACUUUGGCUGACAUCAGCAGAAGUGGAAAGUUUUUCGGCUAGGGAUGGACUCGCGGCCUAUCAGCUAGUUGGUGAGGUAACGGCCCACCAAGGCGACGACGGGUAGCCGGCCUGAGAGGGCGACCGGCCACACUGGGACUGAGACACGGCCCAGACUCCUACGGGAGGCAGCAGUGGGGAAUAUUGCGCAAUGGGCGAAAGCCUGACGCAGCGACGCCGCGUGGGGGAUGAAUGUCUUCGGGUUGUAAACCCCUUUCAGCAGGGACGAAGCGAAAGUGACGGUACCUGCAGAAGAAGCGCCGGCUAACUACGCGCCAGCAGCCGC